UCUCUGAGCGUUUUUUCCUGUGGUUUUGUCUUCCCGUGGAUUACUCUUGGACUGUUUAUUCUCUUCGUGAUUGUUUGCUGUCUGUCCUGGACUGUUUUCUACUGUGGACUGAUUUAUAUUGGAUAAAAACACAGUGAUCACAGUUCACACCUGCAGUGAAGCCCCUCCCACAACAAUUCACCAAUAAAUACUGGGAAUAUUCCCAUCAUCCUACAAGAGAAGCACAAACUCCAGGAGUAGCAGCUGAAAUAUGUGUGACUGUUAAAGAUGGAGUUUAUUAAAGAGGAGAUUGAAGACAUGAGUGAUCCAGAACCAUCCAGAAUAAAACAUGAAGAUACUGAGGAACAAAUAGACACGAUGGAAGUGAAAGUGCAAAGAAAAGAACUGAA